rnacentral:snoRNA from 1 species
UCAUGAUGAGACAUCAUAGCUGGCACCAGUCAGACGGGGAUAUUUACUCUAUCCUCCAUGCUGAUUAGCUUGCGAUCCGGAAACGCUAUCUGGAUCCUGAC